GAUGAGGGGACCUCGAGUGCCAGGUUACAAAUCUGGCUGUCGUGAUGCCUAAAAAGCAUUGCAUAGCAAGGGCCGGGCAAGACCGGUGCCAGCCGCCGCGGUAACACCGGCGGCUCGAGUGGUAACCGUUAUUAUUGGGUCUAAAGGGUCUGUAGCCGGCCGGAUAAGUCUCUUGGGAAAUCCAGCAGCUCAACUGUUGGGCUUUCAGGAGAUACUGUCUGGCUCGAGGCCGGGAGAGGUGAGAGGUACUUCAGGGGUAGGGGUGAAAUCUUGUAAUCCUUGAAGGACCACCAGUGGCGAAGGCGUCUCACCAGAACGGACCUGACGGCAAGGGACGAAAGCUAGGGGCACGAACCGGAUUAGAUACCCGGGUAGUCCUAGCCGUAAACGAUACUCGCUAGGUGUCGGCCACGGUGCGACCGUUGUCGGUGCCGUAGGGAAGCCGUGAAGCGAGCCACCUGGGAAGUACGGCCGCAAGGCUGAAACUUAAAGGAAUUGGCGGGGGAGCAC
rnacentral:rRNA from 1 species